UUUUCUCAUUUCACUGAUUUCUCAUACAUUCUGUUUAUUGUAUGAUAUGUUGUUUGAUUCUUGGUUCCUGAUGUAAAGCCCUUUGGAUCCCUGCUGGUUGCUGUUAAGUGCUAUAUAAAUAAAUGUUGACUGAUUGAUAUUAUACACUGGGCUCAC